CCAGGGAAAGAAGGUCCAAAGGGGAUGAAAGGAGAGAGAGGAUUCCCUGGGCCUAGUGGAGACAAAGGAGACGAGGGCUCUCCUGGAGUUCCAGGCAUUCUGGGUACAACCGGCCGUACUGGAGCCCCUGGGGUCAUGGGCAGACCUGGGCCAAUGGGUCAGCCUGGAACAAAGGGAGAUCGGGGAAGUGAAGGCUCCC